CUCCGACUCAGCAGCUGAAUGGAAGGGUCUGACAGACCUAACCUGCUUGCCUGCAUAUUUGGACCGAUGCGGAAUUAAUGAGUUGAGUAACCACUAUUGUGACAGACCCAUCCGUAUGAACUAGAAUUGCUGUGUUCGUCUGUUUUGCCGUUUGUAUGAAUUUCCCCAUUCAUAUGCCUUGUUUAAGGGAAUGUAUUUUUUUUGUCGAACGGAACUACCGAACGGACGGCCACCCAGAAGAGAAGUGUGCUGCUGGUUAACCUAUUGAUCCCAAUUAGAACGUUGCGGUUAACCACAAACACUUCUCAAUUAAAACCGAAUACAGGGUGGUCGUCGUUCGUAUGUCGACC